rnacentral:rRNA from 1 species
GACGAACGCUGGCGGCGUGCUUAACACAUGCAAGUCGAACGGAAAGGCCUCUUUCGGGGGGUACUCGAGUGGCGAACGGGUGAGUAACACGUGAGUAACCUGCCCUUGACUUUGGGAUAACUUCAGGAAACUGGGGCUAAUACCGGAUAGGAGCUCCUGCUGCAUGGUGGGGGUUGGAAAGUUUCGGCGGUUGGGGAUGGACUCGCGGCUUAUCAGCUUGUUGGUGGGGUAGUGGCUUACCAAGGCUUUGGCGGGUAGCCGGCCUGAGAGGGUGACCGGCCACAUUGGGACUGAGAGACGGCCCAGACUCCUACGGGAGGCAGCAGUGGGGAAUAUUGCACAAUGGGUGGAAGCCUGAUGCAGCAACGCCGGGUGCGGGAUGACGGCCUUCGGGUUGUAAACCGAUUUCGCUCAUGACGAAGCUUUGUGUGACGGUAGUGGGUAAAGAAGCACCGGCUAACUACGUG